GGGUCCAUGAUGACUAGCCCACUGCGCAAACUGAGCAGUGCCUCUCUGUGGGAGCGCCCUGCUGGAGACAAACGUGCUGAGAAAAGCCUGAGACCC